rnacentral:rRNA from 1 species
GACGUAGGAGGCGAGCGUUAUCCGGAUUCACUGGGCGUAAAGCGCAUGUAGGCGGCUGGAAAAGUCGUGUGUUAAAGCCCCCGGCUCAACUGGGGGAGGUCAUGCGAGACUAUUCGGCUUGAGGGCAGCAGAGGAGCGUGGAACUCCCGGUGUAGCGGUGGAAUGCAUAGAUAUCGGGAGGAACGCCGGUGGCGAAAGCGGCGUGCUGGACCUCUUCUGACGCUGAGGCGCGAAAGCUAGGGGAGCAAACGGG